rnacentral:rRNA from 1 species
CCAAUAGCGUAUAUUAAAGUUGUUGCAGUUAAAAAGCUCGUAGUUGAAUUUCGGGAUUAGUGCGCCGGUCGUGCCUUCGGUAUGUACUGGUGUUACUGGUUCCUACCUUCUGACGAACCGUCAUGUCAUUAACUUGGUGUGGCGGGGAAUCAGGACUGUUACUUUGAAAAAAUUAGAGUGUUUAAAGCAGGCUCGCGCUUGAAUACAUUAGCAUGGAAUAAUGAAAUAGGACGUUCGAUCCUAUUUUGUUGGUUUCUAGGAUUGACGUAAUGAUUAAUAGGGAUAGUUGGGGGCAUUAGUAUUCAAUUGUCAGAGGUGAAAUUCUUGGAUUUAUUGAAGACUAACUACUGCGAAAGCAUUUGCCAAGGAUGUUUUCAUUAAUCAAGAACGAAAGUUAGGGGAUCGAAGACGAUCAGAUACCGUCGUAGUCUUAACCAUAAACUAUGCCGACUAGGGAUCGGAUGAUGUUAUUUUUAAUGACUCAUUCGGCGCCUUACG